GAAUUAUUUAAAAGAUGCUGAAAAAUGGACAACUGUCCAUUAUUCUCUGUCAAAAAUGAUGUACUAUCUAAGGAAUUUAGGGUAGAAUACUCCUUAGAUGUUAUUUUUGGAUAUACACUAUAAAAAGAAAGUCAUUCCCUCAUUUUCUCACAGACUCAUCAGAUUUCAAAAAUACACUCUAAAAAUUCAGCUGUUGUUUCUAUAGAAGCGGACUCUCUUUUCCUCUAAUUUUAGCAAAAAACUUAAAGAACUUCUUUGGGAUUUUCUGGUUUUCAUAAGUCAAAAAAUGGAUUGAAUCCGAAGCUUUCUUUUCUGGGAUUUACUGCUGCUGCUCAUGCUGUGUUGUUUAAGUUUGGGUUGAGCUCCAAAUUUCAUUAUUUUGAUCUGUACUUGGUCUUCUUUCUACUGUUCUUCUUGUUUCUGGCCAUUAGAAUCAAUAUUAAUUCAAAAAGGGUUUCCUUAUAAAGUGGUUUUGCUGAAGUAUAUGGAUUUUUGUUGAGUUUGAGAAGGCUUAAUGCUGGUUACAUGGCUAUGUCUUGCUGAUCUGACCACCAGUCGGAUCAGAUUGGUGAAGCUAAGUCUAAAAGGUGGAUUUGGAGUCAUCCAUGGAAGGGGUGUAACACAAGAUUGGUUAUGUUUUUUUUAGUUUAAUUAGCCUUAUGAACAAUCUAUGUAAAUAUUUAAGGAUUCAUGUCUAUUAUCCUUCUUGAUGAUUGUAUUGUGAUUCACCAGAUUUGCAAGUAUUAGAAAUGUAAUUAAUUUGUCUUAUCUUAGAUCAGAUAAAUAGUUCAGCUAUUCAUCUUC